UGCUCAGACUCUGCUUGAGAUUCUCCCUCCCUCCUUUCUGCCCCUCUAAAAUGAAUAAAUAACAUUUUUACAAAAAGAUCAGCAUAAAUAGUAGACAUAUAACUUUAAAAGUCACUAGUAAACAACUGAGGUAUUUUUUAUUUGCCAAUAAAUAAGAAGCAGCUUUUGUACCAUUUGUACAUGACUUGGAGUGCUGGUCACAAAAAAAAUUAGUAAGAGAACUGUUUAGUCAAAGAAUAUUCCUACACUUUUGUUACAGAGUAUUUAGUUUUUAUACAAAAUUAAGACAAAACAAGAGACUUGGAGUUUCCAAACAUUUGUUUCAUUUAUGUUACUGCAUUUAUUCAGUGAAAAUUGAAAGAAACAUCAAAGAUAAAAUCCCAUGAUAGAGGUCUAGCUAUAUAUAUGUAAUAACAUGAAUAUUCAUUUACAGUUGGUAGAUAAAGAGCAAAGCUUAGCUCUAGAUUAUAGACUGGGAAAUCUUUUUGAGACAAGGCUGGGGAAGGAGUAGGGAAGGGGAAUGAUUGAGGAGUCAAAUAGAAAAGUCUUUGUAUGCUUGCUGCUAAUGUUGCCCUGAAAUCUAAUGGGAAUCUAUAAGGUAGCAGAAAUAAUUCAGUAUUAGAAAAUAUGCUGCUGGGAUACACCAUCUCAUAUAUCAGCAUCCAGAUGUAAGACCUUUGACAGGUGGAAUAUUCUGUAAAAUGUGAUUUAUCUCUCACCUAUCCUCUACUAACCCCCCGUCCCCCACCCCCAUAUUCCUUUUGGUUAUCCAAACUUUUACCUAGAGGCUUGUUGAAAUGUAAGGUUGCCAGCAGACAUAAUUCAAAUCACAAGAAAUUAACUGUUUUUUUUUUUUUUUUAACUUUCCAUUUUUGCUUAUGGAGGAUAAAGGUCCUGAGACCUCUCGAAAUCUUAGAGAGAGAGCUGUUUGUCACACCCGGCUCUGGUCUUUUCUCUGCUUCAACCAGCUAUGAAAUCUUUGUCUUAAAUCCUUAUUUGUUACCUAAAGGUAGACUAAAUUAUUCCUUCCAGCCAUAAUGUACUGUGGGUGUGAUACAGUUGAAAUAAUAUAUUUAAAAGUGCUUUGUAAAUAUUCUUAAUGACACUCAAGACGUACUGUACUGCAAAAUAAGUAAUCUUUUAAGGUGAUACCAGCAGAUGUAUUCAGUGUAGCCGGUUUUCUUCUCAGCGUUACUUUUCCCAUAUUCGUUUUGAAUGCCUGAAAUGAAGUUCAACUAUAAAUUGCUCUAAAAUUUGUUAAGCGGGGUGAAAAGAAAGGUCUUCACUUCGUUUUGUGUUUAAAUCCACUUCUUCAUUUCUGUUCAUACUAGUGCUUGCUUUUCAUGGCCAGAAAAGCAGAAACGUCCCCCUUCUGCUGUCUGCACUGUCUGUUGGACCUCACAGAAAUGUCUUCAUGUUUUUACCUAGCAGGAACACCAGAGGCUGGGGCCCUGGGCCAACACUGAAGUCCUCCUGGAAUCUGUGCUCCGGGGGCUGUGCCGGGUAGAGAGGGCAGUGGGAGAAAAAGAAAAGCAACUGUCAUCAGAUUCACAAGAAAUGGAACCUAAUUCACAUUUGGCUUACUGACAUCAGUGUCCAGCGCACUGCAAAGGAACUGCAUUCAGAUCUCUGCCCUCUAAGGAUAUGAACAGAUCAUUAAUUACACCUUCAACAAAUAAAGCUAUUUAUAUUUUUGUUUUAUGCUAAAUUCA